rnacentral:rRNA from 1 species
AGCAGCCGCGGUAAUUCCAGCUCCAAUAGCGUAUAUUAAAGUUGUUGCAGUUAAAAAGCUCGUAGUUGAAUUUCGGGACCAAUCUGCCGGUCGUGCCUCCGGUACGCACUGGUUUUAUUGGUUUCUCCCUUCUGACGAACCAUGACGUCAUUAAUUUGGUGUCAUGGGGAAUCAGGACUGUUACUUUGAAAAAAUUAGAGUGUUUAUAGCAGGCUCACGCUUGAAUACAUUAGCAUGGAAUAAUGAAAUAGGACGUUUGACCCUAUUUUGUUGGUUUCUAGGAUCGACGUAAUGAUUAAUAGGGAUAGUUGGGGGCAUUAGUAUUCAAUUGUCAGAGGUGAAAUUCUUGGAUUUAUUGAAGACUAACUACUGCGAAAGCAUUUGCCAAGGAUGUUUUCAUUAAUCAAGAACGAAAGUUAGGGGAUCGAAGACGAUCAGAUACCGUCGUAGUCUUAACCAUAAACUAUGCCGACUAGGGAUCGGAUGAUGUUAAUUUUUUAGUGACUCAUUUC